CCUGUCAGAUGGGACGAAAGGGUGCCGGUCAAUAUCCGGCACUUAUGACGGUACCAUCAGAGGAAGCCCCGGCUAACUCCGUGCCAGCAGCCGCGGUAAUACGGAGGGGGCAAGCGUUAUUCGGAAUUAUUGGGCGUAAAGCGCGCGUAGGCGGCUUGGCAAGUCAUAGGUGAAAUCCCUCGGCUCAACCGAGGAACUGCCUGUGAAACUGCCUCGCUCGAGGUCGGGAGGGGGUGACGGAAUUCCCAGUGUAGCGGUGAAAUGCGUAGAUACUGGGAGGAACACCGGUGGCGAAGGCGGUCACCUGGACCGAUUCUGACGCUGAGGCGCGAAAGCGUGGGGAGCAAACAGGAUUAGAUACCCUGGUAGUCCACGCUGUAAACGAUGGGCACUCGGUGCCGCGGGUAUCGACCCCUGCGGUGCCUUAGCUAACGCGUUAAGUGCCCCGCCUGGGGAGUACGGUCGCAAGGCUG
rnacentral:rRNA from 1 species